CCUACGGGAGGCAGCAGUGAGGAAUAUUGCACAAUGGGGGAAACCCUGAAGCAGCGACGCCGCGUGAGUGAAGAAGGAAUUCGGUAUGUAAAGCUCUAUCAGCAGGGAAGAAAAUGACGGUACCUGAGUAAGAAGCCCCGGCUAACUACGUGCCAGCAGCCGCGGUAAUACGUAGGGGGCAAGCGUUAUCCGGAUUUACUGGGUGUAAAGGGAGCGUAGACGGCAGUGCAAGUCUGGAGUGAAAGGCGGGGGCUCAACCCCCGGACUGCUCUGGAAACUGUACGGCUGGAGUGCAGGAGAGGUAAGUGGAAUUCCUAGUGUAGCGGUGAAAUGCGUAGAUAUUAGGAGGAACACCAGUGGCGAAGGCGGCUUACUGGACUGUAACUGACGUUGAGGCUCGAAAGCGUGGGGAGCAAACAGGAUUAGAUACCCUUGUAGUC
rnacentral:rRNA from 1 species